rnacentral:rRNA from 2 species
GGUUAAGCGACUAAGCGUACACGGUGGAUGCCCUGGCAGUCAGAGGCGAUGAAGGACGUGCUAAUCUGCGAAAAGCGUCGGUAAGGUGAUAUGAACCGUUAUAACCGGCGAUGUCCGAAUGGGGAAACCCAGUGCAAUUCGUUGCACUAUCGUUAACUGAAUACAUAGGUUAACGAGGCGAACCGGGGGAACUGAAACAUCUAAGUACCCCGAGGAAAAGAAAUCAACCGAGAUUCCCCCAGUAGCGGCGAGCGAACGGGGAGCAGCCCAGAGUCUGAAUCAGCUUGUGUGUUAGUGGAACGGUCUGGAAAGUCCGACGGUACAGGGUGAUAGUCCCGUACACCAAAAUGCACAGGUUGUGAACUCGAAGAGUAGGGCGGGACACGUGGUAUCCUGUCUGAAUAUGGGGGGACCAUCCUCCAAGGCUAAAUACUCCUGACUGACCGAUAGUGAACCAGUACCGUGAGGGAAAGGCGAAAAGAACCCCGGCGAGGGGAGUGAAAAAGAACCUGAAACCGUGUACGUACAAGCAGUGGGAGCACCUUCGGGUGUGACUGCGUACCUUUUGUAUAAUGGGUCAGCGACUUAUAUUCUGUAGCAAGGUUAACCGUAUAGGGGAGCCGCAGGGAAACCGAGUCUUAACUGGGCGUUAAGUUGCAGGGUAUAGACCCGAAACCCGGUGAUCUAGCCAUGGGCAGGUUGAAGGUUGGGUAACACUAACUGGAGGACCGAACCGACUAAUGUUGAAAAAUUAGCGGAUGACUUGUGGCUGGGGGUGAAAGGCCAAUCAAACCGGGAGAUAGCUGGUUCUCCCCGAAAGCUAUUUAGGUAGCGCCUCGUGAACUCAUCUUCGGGGGUAGAGCACUGUUUCGGCUAGGGGGUCAUCCCGACUUACCAACCCGAUGCAAACUACGAAUACCGAAGAAUGUUAUCACGGGAGACACACGGCGGGUGCUAACGUCCGUCGUGAAGAGGGAAACAACCCAGACCGCCAGCUAAGGUCCCAAAGUCAUGGUUAAGUGGGAAACGAUGUGGGAAGGCACAGACAGCCAGGAUGUUGGCUUAGAAGCAGCCAUCAUUUAAAGAAAGCGUAAUAGCUCACUGGUCGAGUCGGCCUGCGCGGAAGAUGUAACGGGGCUAAACCAUGCACCGAAGCUGCGGCAGCGACACUAUGUGUUGUUGGGUAGGGGAGCGUUCUGUAAGCCUGCGAAGGUGUGCUGUGAGGCAUGCUGGAGGUAUCAGAAGUGCGAAUGCUGACAUAAGUAACGAUAAAGCGGGUGAAAAGCCCGCUCGCCGGAAGACCAAGGGUUCCUGUCCAACGUUAAUCGGGGCAGGGUGAGUCGACCCCUAAGGCGAGGCCGAAAGGCGUAGUCGAUGGGAAACAGGUUAAUAUUCCUGUACUUGGUGUUACUGCGAAGGGGGGACGGAGAAGGCUAUGUUAGCCGGGCGACGGUUGUCCCGGUUUAAGCAUGUAGGCUGGUUGUCCAGGCAAAUCCGGAUAAUCAAGGCUGAGGUGUGAUGACGAGGCACUACGGUGCUGAAGUAACAAAUGCCCUGCUUCCAGGAAAAGCCUCUAAGCAUCAGGUAACAUUAAAUCGUACCCCAAACCGACACAGGUGGUCAGGUAGAGAAUACCAAGGCGCUUGAGAGAACUCGGGUGAAGGAACUAGGCAAAAUGGUGCCGUAACUUCGGGAGAAGGCACGCUGGUGUGUAGGUGAAGUCCCUGCGGAUGGAGCUGAGACCAGUCGAAGAUACCAGCUGGCUGCAACUGUUUAUUAAAAACACAGCACUGUGCAAACACGAAAGUGGACGUAUACGGUGUGACGCCUGCCCGGUGCCGGAAGGUUAAUUGAUGGGGUUAUCCGUAAGGAGAAGCUCUUGAUCGAAGCCCCGGUAAACGGCGGCCGUAACUAUAACGGUCCUAAGGUAGCGAAAUUCCUUGUCGGGUAAGUUCCGACCUGCACGAAUGGCGUAAUGAUGGCCAGGCUGUCUCCACCCGAGACUCAGUGAAAUUGAACUCGCUGUGAAGAUGCAGUGUACCCGCGGCAAGACGGAAAGACCCCGUGAACCUUUACUAUAGCUUGACACUGAACAUUGAGCCUUGAUGUGUAGGAUAGGUGGGAGGCUUUGAAGCGUGGACGCCAGUCUGCGUGGAGCCAACCUUGAAAUACCACCCUUUAAUGUUUGAUGUUCUAACGUUGGCCCCUGACCGGGGUUGCGGACAGUGUCUGGUGGGUAGUUUGACUGGGGCGGUCUCCUCCCAAAGCGUAACGGAGGAGCACGAAGGUUAGCUAAUCCUGGUCGGACAUCAGGAGGUUAGUGCAAUGGCAUAAGCUAGCUUGACUGCGAGCGUGACGGCGCGAGCAGGUGCGAAAGCAGGUCAUAGUGAUCCGGUGGUUCUGAAUGGAAGGGCCAUCGCUCAACGGAUAAAAGGUACUCCGGGGAUAACAGGCUGAUACCGCCCAAGAGUUCAUAUCGACGGCGGUGUUUGGCACCUCGAUGUCGGCUCAUCACAUCCUGGGGCUGAAGUAGGUCCCAAGGGUAUGGCUGUUCGCCAUUUAAAGUGGUACGCGAGCUGGGUUUAGAACGUCGUGAGACAGUUCGGUCCCUAUCUGCCGUGGGCGCUGGAGAAUUGAGGGGGGCUGCUCCUAGUACGAGAGGACCGGAGUGGACGCAUCACUGGUGUUCGGGUUGUCAUGCCAAUGGCACUGCCCGGUAGCUAAAUGCGGAAGAGAUAAGUGCUGAAAGCAUCUAAGCACGAAACUUGCCCCGAGAUGAGUUCUCCCUGAGACUUUAAGUCUCCUGAAGGAACGUUGAAGACGACGACGUUGAUAGGCCGGGUGUGUAAGCGCAGCGAUGCGUUGAGCUAACCGGUACUAAUGAACCGUGAGGCUUAACCUU